GUCAGCAGAGAAAUUAGUCAACAACAAAAAUAUUGAUCGAAAAUUUUAGAGAGAAUUUCUUUCAACUAAAUUUUCUGAACUCCUAUUGAAAAACAAGCAAUUAUUGACUAAAGUACUAAAUCGUGACAAAUUGUAAUCAAUUUUAUUGCUUUAAAAACUGUCAGCCAGAUAUAGAUAACGUUUGAAAUCUAUAUAAUUGGAAUUUAUUACGAGUGGAAAUUAUUUGUCUAAGAUUUAAGCAAUAGUGCCCAGCUAUUGAUUGUGGUGUGUUAUUGCCAAAUAAAACGUCAUCAAGUUCAAGCUUUCUGCACAAAAAAACCUGCUGCCCUAUUAUAUCUUAUGGAUAAAAUAAACAAAAGUGAAAUUAUUCAAGAAGGUUAGUUUUUUUCUAAAAUCUUUGGAGUUUGCAGAUCACAUAGUCAGAGAAAUAAUUCUGUAACGGCGUUGAGUUUCAAACAUUUUGAUGUCUGACUUGUAUUGUUGUUCACAACCUUAAACAUUAGAUGAAUAAUCCCUUAACCCUUUAAAAAGAUAUUGAUGAAAGCUCAAGUGAACAAAAACCAGCUCAUUUGAAAGGAAGAUGACAAUCAAGCCAUGUUAGAGCCAUUUUUAAUCACGAAACUUGCUGAAACUCAUAAGUAGAUAUACAAUAUUGGCAAAUUGACACCAAUAUAAAGUUACAAAGAAAUCUACAAACUGUAAAAAAUAUAUUUUAAAUAAA